UACGGGGGGGGCAAGCGUUGUUCGGAAUACUGGGCGUAAAGGGCUUGUAGGUGGCCAACUAAGUCAGACGUGAAAUCCCUCGGCUUAACCGGGGAACUGCGUCUGAUACUGGACUGGCUGGAGUGUGGGAGAGGGAUGGAGCGGAAUUCCGAAGGUUGUGAGCGGGUGGAAAUGACGUAGAAUAUCUGGAGGAACACCGGUGGCGAAGGCGGCAUCCUGGACCAUUACUGACACGUGAAAAGCGAAA
rnacentral:rRNA from 1 species